rnacentral:rRNA from 1 species
CAACUUUCAGCAACGGAUCUCUUGGCUCUCGCAUCGAUGAAGAACGCAG